CAGCCGCCGCGGUAAUACCGGCGGCCCGAGUGGCGGUCACUCUUAUUGGGCUUAAAGCGUCCGUAGCCGGGUUGGGAAGGCCUCCGGGAAAUCUGGCCGCUUAACGGUCAGAAUGCCGGAGGAUACUCCCAGCCUAGGGAGCGGGAGAGGCCGAGGGUAUUCCCGGGGUAGGGGUGAAAUCCUAUAAUCCCGGGAGGACCACCUGUGGCGAAGGCGCUCGGCUGGAACGCGUCCGACGGUGAGGGACGAAGGCCAGGGGAGCAAACCGGAUUAGAUACCCGGGUAGUCCUGGCUGUAAACGAUGCGGACUUUGUGUCGGACAAGCUAUGAGCUUGUCCGGUGCCGGAGGGAAACCGUUAAGUCCGCCGCCUGGGGAGUACGGCCGCAAGGCUGAAACUUAAGGAAUUGGCGGG
rnacentral:rRNA from 1 species